rnacentral:lncRNA from 1 species
CAAUCCCAUUGUCCCAGCAGCUGCAAUAUUAUAAGGAAUACCAGACAAAGCUCGCCAAGGUAGCAGGCAGCAAGAAAGCGGCGUCGAUCAUCAAGGAUGCUCUCUAUUUACUGAGUGCCGGAAACAGUGACUUUCUUCAGAAUUACUAUGUCAACCCUUUUGUUAACAAAGUCUACACUCCUGACCAGUAUGGCUCCAUCCUUGUUGGUGUCUUCCAAGGCUUCGUUAAGGUGUAUAUCUGCUCAUUGCUCCUCUUAAAUAGUUCUAAUCGUAAUAAAACGAUAAUUCAGUUAUUGCACCCGACUUUUACCUCAUUUAAGUGAAUCUCACUAACAUUAAUAUAUCACUUGUCACGCGGACUACGCUAAUCAAGUAACGGAAUUUUGGUUAAAUUUCUAUUUUAGAUUUCUGAUUGUGAAACUAAGGGCUCGUUUGAGAGGGAUGGUUUGAUUCAAAACUAAUUUACCUUGUCAUUAAAUCCGCGAAUCCUUUUUUUCAAACAUUUCGUCCAAAUGGAUCCUAAGGUUUUGCUACGCUUCCUUGAAAACUAGGAUUUGUACCACCUGGGAGCCAGGAAGAUCGGUGUGACCUCACUCCCUCCAUUGGGUUGCCUUCCGGCUGCAAUCACCUUAUUUGGAAACCAUGAGCAAGGAUGUGUCGCUAGAAUCAACUCCGAUGCCCAAGGGUUUAACAAGAAGAUAAACUCCGCAGCGGGAAAUCUCCAAAAGCAACUUUCCGGUCUUAACAUCGUCAUCUUCGACAUUUACAAGCCGCUCUAUGAUGUCAUUAAAGCCCCAGCAAAUUACGGU